UAACGCGUUAAGUCGACCGCCUGGGGAGUACGGCCGCAAGGUUAAAACUCAAAUGAAUUGACGGGGGCCCGCACAAGCGGUGGAGCAUGUGGUUUAAUUCGAUGCAACGCGAAGAACCUUACCUGGUCUUGACAUCCACGGAAGUUUUCAGAGAUGAGAAUGUGCCUUCGGGAACCGUGAGACAGGUGCUGCAUGGCUGUCGUCAGCUCGUGUUGUGAAAUGUUGGGUUAAGUCCCGCAACGAGCGCAACCCUUAUCCUUUGUUGCCAGCGGUCCGGCCGGGAACUCAAAGGAGACUGCCAGUGAUAAACUGGAGGAAGGUGGGGAUGACGUCAAGUCAUCAUGGCCCUUACGACCAGGGCUACACACGUGCUACAAUGGCGCAUACAAAGAGAAGCGACCUCGCGAGAGCAAGCGGACCUCAUAAAGUGCGUCGUAGUCCGGAUUGGAGUCUGCAACUCGACUCCAUGAAGUCGGAAUCGCUAGUAAUCGUGGAUCAGAAUGCCACGGUGAAUACGUUCCCGGGCCUUGUACACACCGCCCGUCACACCAUGGGAGUGGGUUGCAAAAGAAGUAGGUAGCUUAACCUUCGGGAGGGCGCUUACCACUUUGUGAUUCAUGACUGGGGUGAAGUCGUAACAAGGUAACCGUAGGGGAACCUGCGGUUGGAUCACCUCCUUACCUUAAAGAAGC
rnacentral:rRNA from 1 species